rnacentral:tRNA from 1 species
GCUCGGUAGCUCAUUUUUUUGAGCAAUGGAAAGAAGCUCCAUGUGUCGGCGGUUCGAUUCCGUCUCGCGCCA